CCCAGGCGAUGGUUGUCCUGGGGUAAGCAUGUAGGGCGGAACGUAGGUAAAUCCGCGUUCUAUUCAGCCUGAGAUGUGAUGCCGAGCCGAUUGUGGUGAAGUGGAUGAUCCUAUGCUGCCGAGAAAAGCCUCUAGUGAGUGUUGUGGCGGCCCGUACCCUAAACCGACUCAGGUGGUCAGGUAGAGAAUACCAAGGCGAUCGGGUGAACUGUGGUUAAGGAACUCGGCAAAUUGCCCCCGUAACUUCGGGAGAAGGGGGACCUCUGCUGGUGAUGGGCUUUACGUUCUGAGCUGGUGGGGGUCGCAGUGGCCAGGGGGAAGCGACUGUUUACUAAAAACACAGGUCCGUGCGAAGUCGUAAGACGAUGUAUACGGACUGACGCCUGCCCGGUGCCGGAACGUUAAGGGGACCGCUUAGCCAGCUUCGGUUGGCGAAGGUGAGAACUUAAGCGCCGGUAAACGGCGGUGGUAACUAUAACCAUCCUAAGGUAGCGAAAUUCCUUGUCGGGUAAGUUCCGACCUGCACGAAUGGCGUAACGACUUCCCCGCUGUCUCAACCACAGACCCGGCGAAAUUGCACUACGAGUAAAGAUGCUCGUUUCGCGCAGCAGGACGGAAAGACCCCGGGACCUUCACUACAGCUUGACAUUGGCGUUUGGAACGUCUUGUGUAGGAUAGGUGGGAGACUGGGAAGCUGUCACGCUAGUGAUGGUGGAGUCAUUGGUGAAAUACCACUCUGGUCGUUUUGAACGUCUAACUCUGGUCCGUGAUCCGGAUCGGGGACAGUGUCUGGUGGGUAGUUUAACUGGGGCGGUUGCCUCCUAAAGAGUAACGGAGGCGCCCAAAGGUUCCCUCAGCCUGGUUGGCAAUCAGGUGUUGAGUGUAAGUGCACAAGGGAGCUUGACUGUGAGACUGACAGGUCGAGCAGGAGCGAAAGCUGGGACUAGUGAUCCGGCAUCGGCGUGUGGAAGCGGUGUCGCUCAACGGCUAAAAGGUACCCCGGGGAUAACAGGCUGAUCUUCCCCAAGAGUCCAUAUCGACGGGAUGGUUUGGCACCUCGAUGUCGGCUCGUCGCAUCCUGGGGCUGGAGUAGGUCCCAAGGGUUGGGCUGUUCGCCCAUUAAAGCGGUACGCGAGCUGGGUUUAGAACGUCGCGAGACAGUUCGGUCCCUAUCCGCUGCGCGCGCAGGAGACUUGAAGGGGGCUGUCCCUAGUACGAGAGGACCGGGACGGACGAACCUCUGGUGUGCCAGUUGUACCGCCAGGUGCACGGCUGGUUGGCUACGUUCGGAAGGGAUAACCGCUGAAAGCAUCUAAGCGGGAAGCUCGCCUUGAGAUGAGGUCUCCCACCACGAGAGUGGGUAAGGCUCCCGGUAGAUCACCGGGUUGAUAGGCCGGAGGUGGAAGCACGGUAACGUGUGGAGCUGACCGGUACUAAUAGGCCGAGGACUUGACCU
rnacentral:rRNA from 1 species